rnacentral:lncRNA from 1 species
GCAGCUCUUUGCGUCAAGAAUACAAGUAAAAGCACACCAAAGAUAUAAACAUCAGUUCUUUCUGAACUUCGACGUGAGUUUCGGUGAGUAGGGUCCAUGUACGCCGAUGUCCCUAUUGCGAAAUUGUCUUGAACAUACAAUUGGUCAGGUGGAAUGGUUAUGGAGAAUGAAAAGUCGAAGAGUUUGGGAACAUAGUCAUCGUCCAAUAAAAUGCAGGUGGGUCUCAGAUUCCUAUGAACGAUGGGCGUUGGAAAGGCAGUAUGUAGGUAUGUAAGUGCACUAGCAAGCUGCUUUGCAAUACGCAGUCUAGUUUUCCACGGUAAUAAUUCAUUAUCCACUGCUAAACUUCCAUCAUUGUUGAGACCUCCCUUUCCUGCAUUUUCAAACACCAAAGCUGGUGUAUCAAACUCUAAGCAGCAGCCUAAUAAUUUCAAGGAAUUCUUAUGGGCGCUCAUCUGCAUUGAUAUGAUAAUAUCACGAAUAGCCCAGUCGACGAUAUAAUGCUUCUUAAUUAUAACUGUUCGGUCAUCUAGAAUACCCCUGUAAAUGUCGAAGUAUGUUCCAUCUGUAAUAAAGCAAGAGCGAUCAAAGUUGUUGGUAACUCUAUUGAGCUCAGCAGCAGAGUAACAACGAAUAGGAUGAGAUUUUCCAUCACAAGAAGCAAUUAGAUCCUCUAGUAACAUGCUUCCAUUCUUCAAGAAUGAUCUCUUUCUUUCCUCCUUUUCCUCCUUUCGCUUUAUACGUGGAAUGAUUGAGAACCUGAUAUAUAUGUACACACACGAAAAUUUUGGGCUUUCGUCAUAUUCAUGGAUUACUUUGAUUUACAACAGAAUUUUGGGCUUCAGCCGCACGAGAAUUUUAACUUACCAAAAAAACCUUGAAGGAAAGGAAAGCUAUAUACUUUUUAGACUUGAAAAAAAAAAACUUACAAGGCUUUGGAUGCCAUUGUUUACACUUGAAAUUUCUCUGUUUAGCACACAGGCCCCUUAGAACUGGACUCGGAUUGCCCCAAACUAAACUGUAAUUUGUUGAUAUCUCCUUCCCUGUAUGCUGCAGAUUUCGUACUCAAGCAUUAGUUUAGCUCGUGAGUUUCAGCUUCUCUGAGAAUUCUGUAACAGUUUCCAAGUUUAUUGAUGAAGCUUUGCGGGGCCAAUGCCCUAUCAUGAUUGGUAGGAAUAAUCUGCAGUGGGACCUAAAAACCCAACGUUUUAAAUUUAUUUUAGAAAGAGUUUUUGCCGCAUACUACUGAAACACCAUCAGAGCUCAAAUUAUAAAUAUGCAAAUCAAUAUUCUUUUUCAUCGUGAGACUAUCUUAGCAUUUUAAAAAGAUAUUUGUUUCUUUUUGCUUGUCCAAAUCUAUAAACAUUUGUUUAAUCAAAUUGGGAAGAUGCAUGGCAGCUGCGCCCAACUGAAGGGUAGACCUGUUGACUUGACUUGACUCCACUUGAUUCUUUUUAGAUUUAUAACGCGUUUGCUUGGAGAUCAUGGGACGAAUCUAUUCGGUGGAGUUGGAAUUUCCAAGUUGUAUCUCUAGAAACCACUCAUUAAUUAUUCGUUUGUACUCCUAAAAAGUAUAUAUCAUCACCCUCUUCCUCGUCAUCGUCUUUUCCGUGUUCCUUCCUCCCCCAAACAAUCACCUUUUGAGUUGAAAGAAAAAUUGUAAUAUCAAGAAAACCUCAAAAGGCCCAUUAUUAAGAGCACUUCCACCCGUGAGCUCAGCCAGACACAGCCUGACAUCAGUGAAUGAAUUUGUUUUUUGAAAAAUUACCAAAAAAAUUCAUUUGAGAAAGAGUAUAGUUUUGAAGUUUAUUGCUAUGGUUAAGUCAACGAUGCCAUUGCCAUCGAAUGAUCAAUGUCCAGUGGGGCCGACCAAAGCUAUUUACACGAAAUUACUAUUUUCCCUUUUCAUUAUCAGACACAAAGAAAAACAUAAUUACUCAAUAACUUACAAACAAAGAAACAAGAAGAACUUGCCUUGAAAUUGCUAGAGCACCAAAAAUAUACACAACAGAGCCCCACACAACCAACAGCUUCGGCUGAAUAAACAGAGCAAAACGGGAAGGUGCAUGGCAAAUAAGUUGUCCCAUGUCGGCUUGACUUUGCAUAGUUAAUUAGAGAGAAUUACUUGGAAAUGAUAGACUUCUCAAUUCUCAGGAGUUCUUUCGCCACAUCCAUCAUAUCUGGCCUUACUUCACUUUCUUCUUGGGUGCAUGACAAUGCCAGUGCUAGGAAAUCAUGCAAGUGCUGUCGUGCUUGCUCAUCUCCCCCUACCUCCCCUAAGAUUUUAGGGUCCGCAAUUGUUUGAAUCUGCCCAAUAUCUGAAGCUUUCACAUAUGCAAUAAUUGAUAGGUAUUCUCCUGCCUCAUAUGCAUCCACAGCCUUUUGUCCCGUUAAAAAUACAAGUAAAAGCACACCAAAACUAUAAACAUCACUUUUUUCUGAAAUGUAACCAGACUUCAUAUAGGAAGGAUCAAGGAAACCAAAUGUUCCUUUCACCUCAUCAUCAGCAUGUGAUUUCAUGGGAGGAAUGGUUAUGGAGAGUCCGAAGUUAGAGAGUUUCGGAGCAUAGUCAUGGUCCAAGAAAAUAGAACUGGGUUUUAGAGCCCUAUGAAUUAUGGGUCUGGGAAAGGCGGUAUGUAAAUAUGUGAUUGCACUAGCAAGUUGAAUUGCAAUGCGCAGUCUAGUUUUCCAUGGUAAUGAGGAUUGGUUUUCAGUAGUCCUUAAACCUCCUUGAUCGUUGAGAACUCCUUCUAUUGCAUAUUCAUGCACCAAAGCUGGUAUAGGGAUCUCUAAGCAGCAGCCCAAGAGUUUCAAAACAUUCUUAUGGUUGCUCAUCUGCAUCGAUAUGAUAAUGUCACGGAUGGCCACGGACCUAGCUUCAUCCCCAGUCCCCAUGAACUUCUUAAUGAUGAUUGAUCGGCCGUCUAGGAAACCCCUGAACAUUUUGUAACCACCAUAAACAUGUAUAGAAUGAUGAAAUUUAUACUUCGGUGCUGAAAAAUCUUGUAUAAUGCGAGAAGGAUCGAAGUUGUUGGUUGCCCUGAUGAGAUCAGCAGCAGAGUAACACCGAAUAGGAUUAGAUUUUCCAUCACAAGAAGCAAUGAGAUCCUCUAGUAAGAUGCUUCCAUUAUCCAAGAAUGAUAUCUCUCUUUCCUUCUUGUUACUGCUCAAACAUGGAACCAAUGGGAAGAACCUGAUACAAAUAUAUAUACAUAUAGGAAAAACACAAAACAGAUUAAUUAAAUUAUUAUAAUGAUGAAAAUGAUUUUGCCACUGGCAUAACACCUUCCAGAUAUCACCCAUUUCCUUUCAUUUUCUCUUUUGAAUUUGACAUGACAGUCUACGAGAUCAAAUCUACGGAUUUAUUUCCUCACAAAUGAACUUAAGGCUUCAGCCUUCAUAAAUUUUUUGAUCUAGCCUUCAUUAAUUUGAUUAGUUUCACUAAUAUCAAAUAUUAGAAGCAAAAAUGAAAAUAAUUAUAGGAAUAUCUCAAAUUAGUUCUAAAUCAAAAUAAUCCAUAUAUAAGGAUAAAUAAUCAGAACUUACAAGGUUUUGGAUGGCAUUCUUCACUUUUUGCUGUCUAGCACCAAGUCCCCUCAGAAUCGGAAUCAGAUUGCUCAAAAUAAACAGCAAUUUUGUUGAUUCUUCCGCCCAGAUCCAUUGCAGAUAUCAUGUGCAAGCAGCUGUUUAUUUCGUUAGUUUCAUUUUCUUUUACAGGAAUCUUGCAUUUGAGAAGGAAGAUAGGUUUGAAGCCUUAUUGGUAUGUGUAGAAAGGUCAACAAUAACAUGCGCCGCCCUCAUAUAUUUGACUUAUAGGACGACUUACUAACCAAGUUGGCAAACUGCAAGCCAUCUAGCCAAGUUGUAUAUCAAGAAACCAUUCAUUAUUCAGAUUAUUUUUAUUUAUCUUCACCCUUUUCCUAGUCAUUAUGUUUUCUGUUUUUCAUUCCUUCCUCCAAACCCCAUACAAUCACCAUUUGAUUUGAACAAAAACACGCAGCAUCAAGAAAUCGUCAAAUAAUGAGAAAAAUAACUUGCCUUGAAAUCGGUUGAGCAUGCAUAAGAUAUACACAAAGCAAACUAGGUAGCUGCAGGUUCACUAGUAGCCAAGCUAUAGCUAGCUAAGGCAAGAUAUUUCCACCCUGUCUACAGGAUACCAAACGGGCCCUUAUCAUCAACUCAUUAAUAGGUAAAAAAAAACUACAGCUAGCUAUAGCUAAGGCAAGAUAGACUUGUCAAUUCGUACAAGCUCUUUGGCCACAUCAAUCAUAUCUGGCCUUGCUUCAUUUUCGUCUUGGAUGCAUAACAAUGCCAGUGCUAGAAAAUCCUGCAGUUGUUGUUGUGCUUGCUCAUCUCCCACGACUUCCUCAAGGAUUUUAGGGUCCGCAAUUGUCUCUAUUUGAAUCUGUCCACCAGGAACAUUAAGUUUCGAAUCUCCAAUAAGGAGUUCAAUUUCUGCUCCAUGUCGUCUUGAUGCAGCUCUUUGCGUCAAGAAUACAAGUAAAAGCACACCAAAGAUAUAAACAUCAGUUCUUUCUGAACUUCGACGUGAGUUUCGGUGAGUAGGGUCCAUGUACGCCGAUGUCCCUAUUGCGAAAUUGUCUUGAACAUACAAUUGGUCAGGUGGAAUGGUUAUGGAGAAUGAAAAGUCGAAGAGUUUGGGAACAUAGUCAUCGUCCAAUAAAAUGCAGGUGGGUCUCAGAUUCCUAUGAACGAUGGGCGUUGGAAAGGCAGUAUGUAGGUAUGUAAGUGCACUAGCAAGCUGCUUUGCAAUACGCAGUCUAGUUUUCCACGGUAAUAAUUCAUUAUCCACUGCUAAACUUCCAUCAUUGUUGAGACCUCCCUUUCCUGCAUUUUCAAACACCAAAGCUGGUGUAUCAAACUCUAAGC